rnacentral:rRNA from 1 species
UACGGGGGGGGCAAGCGUUGUUCGGAAUUACUGGGCGGAAAGGGCUCGGAGGCGGCCAACUAAGUCGGAUGUGAAAUCCCCAGGCUUAACCUGGGAACUGCAUCCGAUACUGGAUGGCUUGAGUUCGGGAGAGGUGAGUGGAAUGCCGAGUGUAGAGGUGAAAUUCGUAGAUAUUCGGCGGAACACCAGUGGCGAAGGCGACUCACUGGCCCGAUACUGACGCUGAGGCGCGAAAGCGUGGGGAGCAAACAGG